rnacentral:lncRNA from 1 species
AUAUUUUAUUUGAAUUAGACUAGAGAAAAUUAGAUUAUAGUUUCAUGGCCAAUUUGCAUAAAAAAUCCACUAGUUUUGCGCUUUUGCAAAUGCGGGCCACCUUUUUCAUUUUUGCAAAUUCGGGCCGGAUUUUCAGCCGCCUGACCAAAAUGCCCCUCGUCUACAUCCGUCGCUCGCGUAUUCUCUGAUAUACGUAUACCCUGCCGUACGGUCCUGGCGGACAUUAAAUGCGCCCCUUGCGCUUUACGCAACCUCUGCUCUUUUUCGAAACUCGGACAAAAUUCGCCCAGAUAUUCACCAACCUCACUGUUUGCUGUUUGGCUUUAAGAAUUUAAAUACU